rnacentral:rRNA from 1 species
CAGCAGCCGCGGUAAUACGAAGGGUGCAAGCGUUACUCGGAAUUACUGGGCGUAAAGCGUGCGUAGGUGGUGAGUUAAGUCUGUCGUGAAAGCCCCGGGCUCAACCUGGGAAUGGCGAUGGAUACUGGCUCGCUAGAGUGCGGUAGAGGAGAGUGGAAUUCCCGGUGUAGCAGUGAAAUGCGUAGAGAUCGGGAGGAACAUCAGUUGCGAAGGCGGCUCUCUGGACCAGCACUGACACUGAGGCACGAAAGCGUGGGGAGCAAACAGGAUUAGAUACCCUGGUAGUCCACGCCCUAAACGAUGCGAACUGGACGUUGGGAGCAAUCAGGCUCUCAGUGUCGAAGCUAACGCGUUAAGUUCGCCGCCUGGGGAGUACGGUCGCAAGACUGAAACUCAAAGGAAUUGACGG